rnacentral:rRNA from 1 species
CUUACACCAACAGCGCCAGGGAACUACGAGCUUCAGCUUAAAACCCAAAGGACUUGACGGUACCCCAAAUAACUAGAGGAGCCUGUCCUGUAAUCGAUGAUCCACGUUACACCUCACCAUUUUUUGCUUAUCAACCUGUAUACCUCCGUCGAAAGCUUACCAUAUGAACGAAUAGAAGUGGGCCCAAGGACUCUUAUCGCCAUAAAGUCAGGUCAAGGUGCAGUUUAUAAAAUGGAAAGCGAUGUGCUACAAUUUCUAAACUAGAACAAACGAAAUACUACAUGAAACAUAGUCAUGAAGGUGGAUCUAGAAGUAAAUAAGAAAUAGCAAAUCUUAUUGAAAUUAUGUUUGGGGUGUGUACAAACCGCCCGUCACCCUCUUCGACAAAUUUUAAAAAGCUUAAUAACCUAAUUUUAUACCUUAGAAGAGGUAAGUCGUAACACGGUAAGGGUACUGGAAAGUGCACUUGGCCCUAUCAAAAUAUAGCUUAAUUAAAGCUCCUCGCUUACACCGAGAUAAUGUCUGUUUAAACCAGAUUGUUUUGAGCCUAAAAUCUAGCCCAAACAAAUUUUACAAACAUAACCUUUAAACCUUUCCCAACUAAAACAUUUUUUUAUCCUAGUAGAGGCGAUCGAAAAAAACUCAGCGCUUAAGAAAUAGUACCGCAAGGGAAACAUGAAAUAAAAAUGAAAUAAACUAAAGC